AUCCGACUUGUAUGAAAAUCAUUUACACGCCACUACACUAGCAGUCAAUCGUCAUAGCAAUGGAAAACGUAGUGUGAGAGGUUUCAUUGGAGACACACACAUUCAACCGGUACCUUCUCAUCUUAUGGACCACGCUAAAAGACAUCGGAGAUCAGUUAAAGGUUCACUGGAUGAAGAAUCCGAUCAUGAGAACUAUCACAUCGUUCGCAAGAUACCGAAACUUGAAGGAAUUCACUACUCUCCUCCCAUAGAAGCCUUCUCAAAUUUAAAUAGAACUCGUAGAUCAAGUGAAAAUAAUCAAGUUAAGAUAUAUCCAGAAAUAAUCUAUCCCGA